UACGUAGGGUGCGAGCGUUGUCCGGAUUUAUUGGGCGUAAAGGGCUCGUAGGCGGCGUGUCGCGUCGGGGAGUGGAAAGACCGGGGCUUAACCCCGGUUCUGCUUCCGGUACGGGCAUGCUGGAGUGUGGCAGGGGAGACUGGAAGUUCCGUGGUGUAGCGGUGGAAUGCGCAGAUAUCAGGAGGAACACCGGUGGCGAAGGCGGGUCUCUGGGCCAUUACUGACGCUGAGGAGCGAAAGCGUGGGGAGCGAACAGG
rnacentral:rRNA from 1 species